rnacentral:rRNA from 1 species
CUACGGGGUGCACCAGUUAAGAAUAAUCUACAAUGUACGCAAGUAUGAUAGUUUGAGCCAGAGUGCGUUUCAAUUUGAAACGCUUUUGUGAAAUGUGAAAAGUUUCACGAAUAAGGACUGGGUAAGACUAGUGCCAGCCGCCGCGGUAAUACUAGCGGUCCAAGUCGCAGCCAUUUUUAUUGGGUCUAAAACAUCCGUAGCUUGUUUUGUAAGUUUCUUGUGAAAUUUCAUGUCUUAAGUAUGAAGCGUGCAAGAAGUACUGCAAAGCUAGAGACUGGAAGACGUAAGAAGUACAUUCAGAGUAACGGUUAAAUGUGUUAAUCCUGAGUGGACUACCAAGAGCGAAGGCAUCUUACGAGGACAGUUCUGACAGUAAGGGAUGAAGGCUAGGGGCGCAAAUGGGAUUAGAUACCCGCGUAGUC